AUUCUCAUUCCUGGGCUACCAUACGGUCUCAAAGGCUACGUAACCAGUCUGGCGAAUUUCAAUGUGAAAAAAACUGAAAAGUGUAACAUGCUAUAUUUGACCCUGUAACUUCCCAAAACACCAUAAAACCUGUGCAUAGAGGGUACUGUUUUACACGAGACAUCACAGAAUACAAAUAUGUUUAUUUUAUAGCAGUACAAGCAAACCGUAUUAUGACAUUCACAGUUAAAAUGUCACGUAGAACUAAAAAUGUUUAAAAAAAAAAAAAAUUCUCCCAUUUUUAAAAUAUUUUAUUCAUAUUAAAUUAGGUUUAUACCUAAAUAUUUGAUAUUAAAUGAAAGCCCC